UACGUAGGGUGCAAGCGUUAAUCGGAAUUACUGGGCGUAAAGCGUGCGCAGGCGGUUUUGUAAGUCUGUCGUGAAAUCCCCGGGCUCAACCUGGGAAUUGCGAUGGAGACUGCAAGGCUAGAAUCUGGCAGAGGGGGGUAGAAUUCCACGUGUAGCAGUGAAAUGCGUAGAGAUGUGGAGGAACACCGAUGGCGAAGGCAGCCCCCUGGGUUAACACUGACGCUCCAGGCACGAAAGCGUGGGGAGCAAACGAGG
rnacentral:rRNA from 1 species